rnacentral:rRNA from 1 species
GCAAGCGUUGUUCGGAAUUACUGGGCGUAAAGGGCGCGUAGGCGGCCUGUUAAGUCGGACGUGAAAUCCCUCGGCUCAACCGGGGAACUGCGUCUGAUACUGGCGGGCUUGAAUUCGGGAGAGGGAUGUGGAAUUCCAGGUGUAGCGGUGAAAUGCGUAGAUAUCUGGAGGAACACCGGUGGCGAAGGCGGCAUCCUGGACCGACAUUGACGCUGAGGCGCGAAAGCCAGGGGAGCAAACGGGAUUAGAUACCCCGGUAGUCCUGGCCCUAAACGAUGAGUGCUUGGUGUGGCGGGUAUCGAUCCCUGCCGUGCCGAAGCUAACGCAUUAAGCACUCCGCCUGGGGAGUACGGUCGCAAGGC